AUUGAACGCUGGCGGCAUGCUUUACACAUGCAAGUCGAACGGUAACAGGUUAAGCUGACGAGUGGCGAACGGGUGAGUAAUGCAUCGGAACGUGCCCGAUCGUGGGGGAUAACGCAGCGAAAGCUGCGCUAAUACCGCAUACGAUCUGAGGAUGAAAGCGGGGGACCGUAAGGCCUCGCGCGAUCGGAGCGGCCGAUGUCAGAUUAGGUAGUUGGUGGGGUAAAGGCCCUCCAAGCCGACGAUCUGUAGCUGGUCUGAGAGGACGACCAGCCACACUGGGACUGAGACACGGCCCAGACUCCUACGGGAGGCAGCAGUGGGGAAUUUUGGACAAUGGGCGAAAGCCCGAUCCAGCAAUGCCGCGUGCAGGAAGAAGGCCUUCGGGUUGUAAACUGCUUUUGUACGGAGCGAAAAGGUCCUUUCUAAUACAAGGGGCUCAUGACGGUACCGUAAGAAUAAGCACCGGCUAACUACGUGCCAGCCGCCGCCGUAA
rnacentral:rRNA from 1 species